rnacentral:rRNA from 1 species
CAGCCGCCGCGGUAAUACGAAGGGUGCAAGCGUUAAUCGGAGUUACUGGGCGUAAAGCGUGCGUAGGCGGUGAGUUAAGUCUGCUGUGAAAUCCCCGGGCUCAACCUGGGAAUGGCAGUGGAUACUGGCUCGCUAGAGUGUGUCAGAGGAUGGUGGAAUUCCCGGUGUAGCGGUGAAAUGCGUAGAGAUCGGGAGGAACAUCAGUGGCGAAGGCGGCCAUCUGGGACAACACUGACGCUGAGGCACGAAAGCGUGGGGAGCAAACAGGAUUAGAUACCCCAGUAGUCCCUGUCUCUUAUAC